UAGUCCUCGUGUUGCAUCCC
rnacentral:snRNA from 1 species